rnacentral:rRNA from 1 species
CAAUAGCGUAUAUUAAAGUUGUUGCAGUUAAAAAGCUCGUAGUUGGAUUUCGGGGCAGCCUGGCUGGUCCGCCGCAAGGCGAGUACUGGUCAGCCGCCCUUCCUCUCGAAAGCCCCGACUGCUCUUUACUGUAGUGGUCGGGUAGUUCGGGACGUUUACUUUGAAAAAAUUAGAGUGUUCAAGGCAGGCCUACGCCUGAAUACAUUAGCAUGGAAUAAUGGAAGAGGACCUCGGUCCUAUUUUGUUGGUUUCCAGGGCCGAAGUAAUGAUUAAGAGGGACAGUUGGGGGCAUUCGUAUUUAAUUGUCAGAGGUGAAAUUCUCGGAUUUAUGAAAGACGAACAACUGCGAAAGCAUUUGCCAAGGAUGUAUUCAUUAA